rnacentral:lncRNA from 10 species
GGGUCUCUGUUUUAUCACUUCCUUUCCACAUAUACUUUAUCUACUUUAAGGUAUCCUCCCCAUCUCUUCCUUGCUUCCCUAAUCCCCAAAAACCUCCCUACAUCUCAUUUUCACAUCACUGUGAUCCACACACUGGUAAAGGCACAGAAAAAUGUUCCUUCCAUUUGUAGACAUACUUGCAGAUGCAGGGACUUAAUUCAGGGAUCAAUGUUGUAUAAAAAGAAUCCGGAGUUUGACCAACUCACCUUCCCAGCUACAAAUGGCAUAUCACCCAAGCAUAAUCUAUAAUGUGGUUGUGCACCAAAAUAGUUCCUAGAACUUUUCUGAAUGAAAAGAAAAGGAAAACAAUUUUAUUUUAUUCACAUGAUAAUAAAAACUGACUAUACAUGACUAACUUGAAACUUCAGUUAACUACUAGGCUACUACUUGCCUUAUCUAUAGUUGGCAUUAUGAUCACAAGCCAGCUCCUAAUAGUACUUGUUAGCAUAUAUCCUAGCCUAGGAAAGGCUGGGGGGAAAAAAGCACUUGACAAAACAACAGUUACAUUCUAAGUAGAAAAUCAGUAUACAUAUACACAAAACAUUGUAAGAGCACAAGAUAAUGCAGUACUAAUAAUGCUAAUUUUGUAUGGUGUUCUGUAGUUCCAAAAUGCUUAUAUAUUUUCUCACUAUCAGGAUAAAAAUUUAGGAGUAGGUAUUACUUAUCUCCACCUUCUGAAUGAAGAAAUUGAGAAUGAAAGAUUUACUCUCUCAAGGUUGUAGUACACCACACAGUUUAUGGGUGUUUUGACAUAAACUAUACCAAGUAAUCAGCAUUUUGCCUGAUUUGGUUCUGUCUUCACACCUUUUCUGGUGGUUUUGACUUCUUUUUUUUAAUUCUUCUUGCAUUGGGAACACACGGAGUUGCCUUAUCUUCAAAGAUAAGUCUAUUUGUUUCUAGACCAGUCUGCAACUAGGAAAAAUGAGAGCCUCAAGUUAAUGCUGUAGAAAUAAAAGCUAUGACUCAGAUUUCAGAUGUGUCAUGUAAAAAGCCUGUAAAAACCAAUGGUAGUAUCUAACUGAAAAACAUAUUACAGCUGUAUAACUAUGUCUUGAACCAAUCUAUCAACGUUU